rnacentral:SRP_RNA from 2 species
GCCGGGCACGGUGGCUCACGCCUGUAAUCCCAGCUACAGGCUGGGAGGCUGAGGCGGGUGGAUCACCUGAGGUCAGGAGUUCGAAACCAGCCUGACCAACAUGGAGAAAACCCGUCUCUA